CCUGGCUCAGGACGAACGCUGGCGGCGUGCUUAACACAUGCAAGUCGAACGGAAAGGCCCUGCUUUUGUGGGGUGCUCGAGUGGCGAACGGGUGAGUAACACGUGAGUAACCUGCCCUUGACUUUGGGAUAACUUCAGGAAACUGGGGCUAAUACCGGAUAGGAGCUCCUGCUGCAUGGUGGGGGUUGGAAAGUUUCGGCGGUUGGGGAUGGACUCGCGGCUUAUCAGCUUGUUGGUGGGGUAGUGGCUUACCAAGGCUUUGACGGGUAGCCGGCCUGAGAGGGUGACCGGCCACAUUGGGACUGAGAUACGGCCCAGACUCCUACGGGAGGCAGCAGUGGGGAAUAUUGCACAAUGGGCGGAAGCCUGAUGCAGCAACGCCGCGUGCGGGAUGACGGCCUUCGGGUUGUAAACCGCUUUCGCCUGUGACGAAGCGUGAGUGACGGUAAUGGGUAAAGAAGCACCGGCUAACUACGUGCCAGCAGCCGCGGUGAUACGUAGGGUGCGAGCGUUGUCCGGAUUUAUUGGGCGUAAAGGGCUCGUAGGUGGUUGAUCGCGUCGGAAGUGUAAUCUUGGGGCUUAACCCUGAGCGUGCUUUCGAUACGGGUUGACUUGAGGAAGGUAGGGGAGAAUGGAAUUCCUGGUGGAGCGGUGGAAUGCGCAGAUAUCAGGAGGAACACCAGUGGCGAAGGCGGUUCUCUGGGCCUUUCCUGACGCUGAGGAGCGAAAGCGUGGGGAGCGAA
rnacentral:rRNA from 1 species